CGGAAGCGGUGGGAGCAGUGGCAGCAGCUCCCUCCCUCCUGUCCACAUGCCUCUGCCUCCUUCCACGGAGCAACAGGGCUUCCCUCUGCCUGAAGCAGCAGCACAGCUCCCUCUCCCCCUCCUGCCUGCCCACCUCUGCCUUCUCCCAUGCAACAGCAGGGCUUCUCUCCACUUGAGGUGGUGGCAGUGGUCAUGGCUCCCUCCCUCACCCACCUGCCCACCCACCUCUGCCUCCUCCUGAAGUGGCAGCAGCAGCAGCUCCCUCCCCUCUGCCCACCUCCACCUCCUCCCCACGGAGCAGCAGAAGCUGCUCCAACCCCCUUCCCACCCACCCACCCACCUCCACCUCUUCCUUCCGCAGAGCAGCAGGACUUCCCUCCGCCUGAGGAAUGCUGAAUGACUAAAAGAGCCUUACAUUGCCUGGUGCCCUCUUCUUGCUCCCAAGAAGAUUUUAAUGGAACGCAGACUCAAUAUGUGCAGAGUAGCCCUACUACUAGAGGUGGUUUUCUCUUCCAUCCUACCAGUGACCGGAUGAGGAAGACGGCAGGAGAACUGCAUCAGAGAGACCAACUGGCGGCUUCGGCAGUGGUGUCUCGAGGCAGGCUUCGGAUUCCUGGACAAUGACCCGCACAUCACGACGAGGGACAUGCUCAGCUGGGAUGGGCUUCACCUGUCCCCCAAAGAACUAAAGCGAAGAGAAGAUAGUUAAGCCUUAUUCUGUUUUAAUUCAGCAGAACUGUGGCAGCAUCCUUAUGUGUAUAGUGUUUGAAAAGGAAGUUCCUAAGGCAAAUCAGAAGAAAAAAAAGGAGGCUUUUAAAUAAUUUGGAGAGAAUACAUCAUGAAGUCCUACUGUUUAAUCCACAAGGAUAUAUACCAGUCACACAAGGGCUUCACACCUGGAUCAAUCAAUUAGGUUGCAAACCUUCAAGAUCAGCUUCCUCAGCUCUGAAUGUAAGCAGCUUCCAGUGAAGUAAAAGAAAACUGCCCAGAUGAAAAGUAACUUCAGAGUCGGGUUCUGUGACGUAUAAGCCUUGAAUAGUGCUCAAUUUUGUUGUUGAUAUUUAACCAACAGCCACAACAGAGGAACAGGCCAACUUUCCAUUGCUGAUAAUUUUGCAUUUAAACUAUUUGGGCAAUUUCUGAACAUAAACAAGCAAUUUUUUCAUGCUGUGUGAAAGAUGUAGACAAGCUGGGAAGUGUCUGGGGGAAAAAAAGCAGCAAAAAUAAGAGGUUUAGAAAAUAUGACCUCUGAGGAACAGCUGAGGCAAUUGCUUUGUUUAAUUUAGAGAAGUGAAUGCUGAAGGGAAGGGGGAAAUACGGUAACAGUUUCCUCAUAUGUAUGACGACAGUCAUCAAUUGUUCUCCUUGUAUUUUGGGGGCAGAACAAAUGAAAAAAUCAUAGAAUCAUAGUAAUAGCUGUCUUUGAAACAAGGAACAUUGAUGUGAGAUAUCAGGAAAACUCUUUCUAACUCCCAGAUAUGUGGAGCCAUGAAAGUACUGUCUUCUUCUCUUUGGAUUAUGUACCAAUUACAGCAUGGUCAGCCCAAGAAUCAGACCCACUAGCUCUUCCCCCUGUCUUUUUCAUCAUACAACACACACAUGAGAGAAGAAGAUAGGCCUGAGAGGCAGAGGUAGAAGACUGAACAGUGAUUCUCAGCCCAUGGACCAGAACAUCUGGUUGGGUUUAAGUUGUUGAGGGUUUUGUUUUUCAUUCUUUUUUUAAUCCUUUCUGUAGAAUCAUAGAAAUUAUAGAGAAGGAGGGCUGGAAGGGACCUCCAGAGGUCUUCUAGUCCAAGCCCCUGCCUAAGUCAUGGUCAUCACUAUAUAAACCAUAAUCUAACUCUACAUAAGCCAACUGUCAACCCUAACACCCUAACCUGCCACAGGUACAGAAGGUGAAUGAUGGCCACCAACCUCCUGCUUCUAUGAAAUAUUAUCAGUAUACUCAAAAUACCACAGGUAGAAGGUCAUCCCCAUUACAGAGGAAGGAACACCCCCUCCCCCCCCAGUCCAUAUCAGUCUCACCAUGGGGUAAAAUUCCUUUCUGACCCCAAAUAUGGUGAUUAGUCUGGCCCUGAGUGGAGGUGCAAGACCCUCUCACAAGAACCUCUGGCUUUGUUCCUAGCAGGACACCCAAUGCCCCUGAGGAAGGCUUAAAAACACUCUGACAUAUAUAAUAUAAAGUGGGGUACAGGAGCAAGUAGCAUGGGACAUACCCAUAGCAAAAUAUAGCAUACCUACUCCUAGAUCAUUCCCAACCAGUGGCUGUCCAACCUCCUUUUGAAUACCUCCGAUAGUGGUAAGUCCACAACUUCCAAGGCAGUCUAUUCUGCUGACUCACUGUGGAAACAGUGGAGAAGUUUUUUCUGGUUUUUCCAGAUAUCCAAUCUAAACUUAUUUUGCUGCAACUUCCAGCCAUUGAUCUGCAUCCUCCUCUCUGCAGCAAGAGAGAAGAGGUGCUUCCCUCCUCCUUAUGGUAGCCCUCCAAGUAUUUGAAACCUGCUAUCACGUACCCUCUUAAGUGCCAUUUCCACAAGCUGAACAUGCCUAACUCCUUCAGCUUCUCUUCAUAUGAUUUGCCUUCUAAGUCCUUGAUUUUCUUUGUUGCCUGCCUCUGGGCCUUCUCUCACUUCUCCAUGUCCUUUUCAAAACGUGGAGCCCAGAACUAGGCACAAUACUCCAGAUGUGGCCUAACCAGUUCUGAGCAAAGAGGCACUAUCACCUUUGUCUUGCACUGAAUGCUUCUCUUGAUGCAUCACACUGCAGACUCAUACUGAGUCUGUGGUCUAUCAUGACUCCCAAGUCUUUUUCUAUAGUGCUCCCAUCCAACCAGGUGUCACCCAUUUUUCAUAUACAUGUUUCCCUCUCUUUAUGCUAACAUGCGUUCCUGGAAAAUGGCACAUAACUCAAAUUCACAUAAAGGGAACCCACUUUACAAUGUAACAAAUAGGGAUACGUUCCAAGACCUUGACUGCACUGACCCCAGACCUAUUUCUACCACUUUUACAAGACAGUUUUGGUACUCACCAACAGCAGGCAGUACACCCAAGCACAGCUGCAGCUCCAGAAGCAUGGGCACCAGCUGCCCUGAGUGGCGGCCAUGGGUGCUGCUGCCAGGCGGCUUCAUGGCUCACUGCUCCCAGGGCACUGCACUGAUGGGGCCAGACCAGGCCAGGCUGCAGAGGCCAGCACUCCACCACCCAGCUCAGCCCCUGCCAAAUAAUUUUUCUUCCUCCACCUAUGGUGUGACUCCCAUAAUGCACUGCACAAAGCAGCUGACUGGUGAUGUGUAGAUGGUGGCAUGUAGCUGAGCCCAUGUGGUACCUAAGUAAGGGAGGUUGAAAAAAAUGAGUUAAGUGAGCAUUCUGAGGCUGCUCGAUUUGCCCUGUUAGUCCCCUUGCUCAUGUGCCUAUAAGAGAGUAAGGGAGGGACAGGUGCAAAGCACAGUAGGACAGUGGAAAAUGGGCCACUAGGGAAAUUGUGGAAUCUCCCCUUUUUGGAGAUUUUCAACAGAAGGCUGGAUAGGCAUCUUGGAUAGUUUAGGACUAGCACAGUCUGUACCACUGUAGGGAGCUGGACUACAUGCCCCUUGUGGCCCCUUUUCAACCCUAUAAUUCUCUAGUUCUGUAAUACAAUCCCUAUACAUAUGUAAGUAUUGGCCUUCAUUUCAAUUAAUUUCAUUCACAACGUUUUUCUUACUAGGCCACCCAAACUUGCCCAGAAUCAUUCUUAUGAAAAAUAUACUUGUAUACUAUAAGGUAUGAUCAUUAAUUCACAGAGUUUUAAAUUAAUCUCUCAUCACAGUCACAUUCCUUACAAGACCCGAGGUGACAUUUUGGCUCUGCUGUUUUCAGCAGGGCUGAAAUUUCCCCAUUCAUGUAUAUUUGGAAGUAAUUAAAGUCAGACCAUAGGCAGAGUCAUUUUUUAACUGUAAGUUCUAUUAGAAUGGAAUAAUUUUUUCACAGGAAAAUGGUUAAGAAUUUGACACUUAAGUUACCAUCCUUUAACAAGAUGAUUAGGGAGCUCUUUCACAGCUCUUUGAACUAUUGCUUCAAGUUGCCUGUCUGUAAACUCAAAAGUUCAAUUUUCAUGAUCAUAUAGGGUAAGAAUUUGGGUUCCAGAAAUGGAAGGCUUUAGUCACAUGGAAACUGGUGAACUACCAGAGAGUUGCAACAUGGUCCUGGCUUGUGUUAUUGUAGAUAACAAUGCAAGGAGAAAUAUAAUAGAAAAAUAACUCCUCCCUUUAUUUUGUAAACUACAAAUGGUGCAUUCCAAGCUGGGGAAUGAAGCCACCUGGGGAAUUCAAUGCUGGGGAAUGAAGAUCAAGACAAAUUGUCUUUUAAUCUUAGUGGUAAUUCAUAAGCCCCAAGAGAAGACAUAAACCUUAUUAUAGAUAUGCCCAUUUAAAAACAGUUAAAAUCUGCAAGAUUUUUUGGUUUGAACAAGCACAAGACUUGUAGCUAAACUCAGUGAGCAAACAAACAGUAUGUGGAUACAAACCAGAGAAAAUGUGGACCUCAGCUGCAGUUAGUUUAACCAACCCUAAGAUAACACUAUACAGAGUUAAUCUAUGGCUAAAUGUAUUAUGUUCACUUACUCUGAUUUUUACAUUUAUUAAUAGAGAAGGAAAUAAAGUCAAAUUGUACUUA